CUAGCCCUAAAUCUAGAUACCUCCCAUCACACAUGUAUCCGCCUGAGAACUACGAGCACAAACGCUUAAAACUCUAAGGACUUGGCGGUGCCCCAAACCCACCUAGAGGAGCCUGUUCUAUAAUCGAUAAUCCACGAUUCACCCAACCACCCCUUGCCAGCACAGCCUACAUACCGCCGUCGCCAGCCCACCUCUAAUGAAAGAACAACAGUGAGCUCAAUAGCCCCUCGCUAAUAAGACAGGUCAAGGUAUAGCCUAUGGGGUGGGAGAAAUGGGCUACAUUUUCUAACAUAGAACAAACGAAAAAGGACGUGAAACCCGCCCUUAGAAGGAGGAUUUAGCAGUAA
rnacentral:rRNA from 1 species